rnacentral:lncRNA from 1 species
GAAGGCAGCAAAUUUUCUCAAUUAUAAUAUAAAACUUACUGAAUAGCGUAAAUAUGUGUUUACAAAAAAAUUCGAUAUUUUCUUUUGUUCUUGAAGAACAAGAAUAUGUAGGAUAAAAAAAUCUAUACGUUUUAGAAAUCAGUCACAAACAGUAGAGGGUCACUACUUGAUAAGGCAAUGGGUAUAAUUAGUAAAACUCUUUGAAGCCCCCCUUUGAGUGUACAAC